rnacentral:rRNA from 1 species
AGCGGCGGACGGGUGAGUAACGCGUGGGUAACCUGCCUCAUACAGGGGGAUAACGGUUGGAAACGGCUGCUAAUACCGCAUAAGCGCACAGUACCGCAUGGUACCGUGUGAAAAACUCCGGUGGUAUGAGAUGGACCCGCGUCUGAUUAGCUAGUUGGUGGGGUAACGGCCUACCAAGGCGACGAUCAGUAGCCGACCUGAGAGGGUGACCGGCCACAUUGGGACUGAGACACGGCCCAA